UUUUUUUCUUGAUGUUAUCGGAUUUCUUUCACCCUCGGAAUGUGAAGAUGGUCAUCUAGCAUUGCCUUCCCUAAAUUCUCCCCAGUCUACCCUUUCCACCAAAGAUAUCUUCUCGGGGUUUUGCCGACAAAACCCGACCUUCCGAAUUGCCGGAAGGGAAACCCUGAUCUCUCCUGUUUCAAAGGAACCCCAAUUUUUGUUGCCCUGUUGCCUCCCAAACCUUCUCCUAAUGAUCAUCCCCUAUCUUUAA
rnacentral:lncRNA from 1 species